CACUGGCAAAAUCCGAUCCCUGCCUCCUCGUGGCGCUGCCGGAUGUCGGUUUUGAUGAGCUUUGUCCGCUCGUUGAAGCCUAACCAAAGGGACGG
rfam:Anopheles gambiae str. PEST chromosome 2L, whole genome shotgun sequence.